rnacentral:rRNA from 1 species
GACGAACGCUGGCGGCGUGCUUAACACAUGCAAGUCGAACGGAAAGGCCCUGCUUUUGUGGGGUGCUCGAGUGGCGAACGGGUGAGUAACACGUGAGUAACCUGCCCUUGACUUUGGGAUAACUUCAGGAAACUGGGGCUAAUACCGGAUAGGAGCUCCUGCUGCAUGGUGGGGGUUGGAAAGUUUCGGCGGUUGGGGAUGGACUCGCGGCUUAUCAGCUUGUUGGUGGGGUAGUGGCUUACCAAGGCUUUGACGGGUAGCCGGCCUGAGAGGGUGACCGGCCACAUUGGGACUGAGAUGCGGCCCAGACUCCUACGGGAGGCAGCAGUGGGGAAUAUUGCACAAUGGGCGGAAGCCUGAUGCAGUAACGCCACGUGCGGGAUGACGGCCUUCGGGUUGUAAUCCGCUUUCGCCUGUGACGAAGCGUGAGUGACGGUAAUGGGUAAAGAAGCACCGGCUAACUACGUG